rnacentral:tRNA from 1 species
GGGCCUGUGGUCUAGUGGCUAUGCUUAGGCACUGCAAAUGACAUCACCCUCACACGGUGAAAGUCGCCGGUUCGAGUCCGGUCAGGCCCA